rnacentral:rRNA from 1 species
UGAGGAAUAUUGGACAAUGUGCGCAAGCCUGAUCCAGCCAUGCCGCGUGCAGGAAGAAGCAUCUAUGGUGUGUAAACUGCUUUUGUACGGGAAGAAACACUCCUUCGUGAAGGAGCUUGACGGUACCGUAAGAAUAAGGAUCGGCUAACUCCGUGCCAGCAGCCGCGGUAAUACGGAGGAUCCAAGCGUUAUUCGGAAUCAUUGGGUUUAAAGGGUCCGUAGGCGGUUUAGUAAGUCAGUGGUGAAAGCCCAUCGCUCAACGAUGGAACGGCCAUUGAUACUGCUAGACUUGAAUUAUUAUGAAGUAACUAGAAUAUGUAGUGUAGCGGUGAAAUGCUUAAAUAUUACAUGGAAUACCAAUUGCGAAGGCAGGUUACUACUAAUGGAUUGACGCUGAUGGACAAAAUCGUGGGAAGCGAACA